GCCGGGUGUGGUGGCUCACGCCUGUAAUCCCAGCACUUUGGGAGGCCAAGGCAGGCGGAUCACCUGAGGCCGGGAGUUGGAGACCAGCCUGGCCAACAUGGUGAAACCCUGUCUUUA
rnacentral:SRP_RNA from 1 species